UUUCAUACGAACAGCGAUUCGAUCAAGUGAACAUAAGUCAGAACAUUUGCGGAAUAAAAAAGUGGGAGAAUCUGAUAACAAUUAUCAACAAAUGUUCAGGGAUGUUCAGCUGCAGCAGCAGUAGCAGCAACUGAGGGAGGAGCUCCUCCCUCAGCAACGAGAGGAUCACCGACCGAGGGAGGAGCCCCUCCCUCAGGUGCCAGAGAUGGAAUCUGGC